rnacentral:rRNA from 1 species
UACAGAGGGUGCAAGCGUUGUUCGGAAUUAUUGGGCGUAAAGGGAGUGUAGGCGGUUUCCUAAGUCUUCUGUGAAAUCUACGGCUUAGCCUGUAACGUGCAGAGGAAACUGGGAGACUUGAGUGUCGGAGAGGAUAGGGGAAAUACCCAGUGUAGAGGUGAAAAUUUGUAGAGAUUGGUGGAACACCAGUGGCGAAGGCGCCGUCUGCUGACAACCGAGCUGAGACUCGAAAGCAUGGGAGCAAAACAGGAU